GACAGCUCUAUUUUUCUCUGUUUGCAUAUUUGGGAAGAUAGUCAUCUAGUGUCCCCUUAGUUCGCCAUCUUGAUCCACAUGCAUUGCAGAGCACUCGUUUUCCAGAUAGCCCAGGUCUCCAAAGGGGGGUUUCUGUUUGAGUUCACAAAUAAUUAGUGAAAUGGGAGAAAAUAUGAAUAAAUUCUUACAGUAAACUUAUCUCAGAAACUAAAGCACAAUGAUCAUUGACAAUUAAGAUUUUCUGUAAAAGGUAGCAUGUACUGCACGAGAAUGGAAGCGUCACGAAACGAGAGUAUGUAUAGCAGGGAAUUUCUUUGGCAAAACAAGAGGAAAUAUCUUUCUUAGAAACAUUCAUAGACUUUUAGGAUGUGUCAACUCUUUUUGUACUCACAUUUUCAUCACCAUGUUAUGGAACCAUACAAAAUAGUUGAACUUUGAGCUUGAUGGUGGAAAGAUUGAAAAGGAUUUGCUUGAUGUGUUAAGAAACUAUGCAAAAUAGUUAACCUCUUGGCAGACUGCAUUUAUUGCAUGGUAUUUUAAGGAGGAAUGUUACCAUCUAAUCCGACAGUAAUUAACUGUAUCAUAUUCAACAUGGACGAUCUCUUUCUCUAGCGCUUACAGUAAAAUAAUUCCCCCCACACCCCCACCCACCAGCAGAUCACCCUCCACUCUCCACUGCAAGCUGCUGCCCUGACCUCCCACCACCACCAGCGACCAGGUACGAUAUCCCCCAGCCCUCUUUCUUUCUCCCUUUCUCUCACUCACUCUGUUCUUUUUGCACUGCCGCCACCGGCCAGCACAAAUCCAGCGACCCCAUCCCAAUGACCGGUGACCGGCAGACCAAGGAGUAUAUCGGAGCUUGCUGGAUUUCGAAAAAUCUGUUCAUAGCAGUUUUUUUAUCCCCAUCAACUCCAAGAUAAUCGAUAAACUUAUUGUUUAAUGGACUCAGUUAUGAAUGUUUCCUUUUGCGGGCCAGAGUUUCCCUGCUAUUGAGAUGCAGCAACGACACUUCUUUUUUCUAUCUUACUGUGCUCAAUUGCCUCUCAAGGAUUUCUCAGAUAUGUAGCUUGGAUUGUGGAGACCCGUGGUUGUCCUCUAGGCCUCUUAACUGGAUGUCCUAAUUUUGCUACACAGCGAGCUCUUCGAGAAUAUAAUUUCUGGCUGGAGACUUUGAGCAAUGAAUGUCAAGCAGUAAUCAAAUAAGGGAUAAGUUACCCAAGGGAUUAAGAGGAAAAGGGACAGAAGAAGAUUCGUUAUUUGCGACAGAUGCAAAGGAAGGAAACAUAGAUUCAGUUACUUGAAGAAAAAGAGAAGAGCAAUGGAGUGGAAUCAACAUUAACAUGGAGGAGUUACGGAUAAAUAGUUGGAUUUUUCCUUGUGAUUGUGUUCCUUGGUGACAUAAUGGUUGAACAAGCAUGAUUACCAUGACUGAGAUACUUGCAAUCGUACUAAAACUUGUCAUGUCAAUCUGUACAUACUUUGGAUAAUAUUGCAUUAUGAAUGAACAUGUUAAAAAAUACAGCUAAAAUACUGGAAUCAAAGGGAUAGAAAAUAUUAUAACCUAAAGAGAACCUCUUUUGUCACUUCAAGAAGUAAUUAAUUUGUAGAUAUGAGUAGUGAUGAAAAAGACAAUGGUAAAGUUCUUUUGAUAAGUAAUUUAUAUGAUAAGGUUUUAACCGUAACGUGUAUUUUUUGAUGAUAAGUUGGUUUUAGCUAGACUUUAUUGCAUUGAGUUGUAGCACAUACAUGAUGACUGAAUGUGAUAUAAUGGGACAAAGUGAAUUUUGUAUCACAUGGAGGAAUGUUGUCUCAAUUAUCUGCAGUCUUAUAUUCUUGUGCUCCUAAUAUUUUGUUGGGUGAGGUUUUUAGAAAAUUUCAGGCUAUUAUGUUGCAAAAAAUAAAUAGAAUUGUACUUUCUCUUACAAUGUAAGCUUUUAGAUGAAUUCUUUGAUAUGGUAUUAGAGCAGAUAUAGAUCCGAGAUUUGAGUCAAUCUGUCACCCAUAAUAAAAAAAAAAUCAUGUGCUAGGAGCCCACUUAUGAGGGGUGGUCAAAGACUUAAUUUAAGGAAAUAAAUUGUGCUAUCUCUAACGACUUAAGCUUUUUAGAUGAAAUGGUCACACACUUCAACAACAAUUAAUAGAUUUAUCCUUCCAUAUGUUAAUCUUGUCAAUUGUGUUUACAAUUUUCAUGAUAGAAGUGAGGCUUGCAUUUGAGCUCAUACAUACGAAAACAUUUUAAUGCAAUGGCAUAGGACUUCAAUUUUAGAAAUGAUGUGUGACUGGAAGAAAGCAACAUUGGAGUAUGAAUCUGAGUACUACACGUAACAUAUAACUCCUAAAAGAUCUUUAUAUAAGUAGUAUAUAAAUGUGACAACGGAGGGAUGGUGUAGUGGUAAGGACCCUCCACCUUUAAAGAUAACAUGAGGUUUGAGUCACCGAUGGUGCAAUGUGAGAAAAAGAGUCACUAUUGGGCUCUUGGGUGUGGAGUUUAGUUGGGGUGGUGGUGGUGGUAAGUGGUGGUAAGUUUACCAUGUCAAAGAAAUAGUACUACGAAGAAAAAAGAAAAUAAAUGGUACUACAUCUGGUCCAUUUUAAAUGUCAUUUUAGCCUUUCAAUGUUGGUACGAGAUAAGUGUCAUUUUAAGAAACCAAGAUGGCUUGAUUGUUCUUUUUCAAAUCUAACCUUACUCCAAUAAAUGAUCUAUAUAGUUUGUGGAGUGAUAAUGGGUAAUUUGAAGAGAUAUAAAGGGUAACUUAGUCAAAUAACCCUUAUAAUUAAUGUUAUUAAAUGGUUUUCUUAAUGUUUGUGCCAAAAGCUUAAAUGAAACUUAAAUAGGAUUUAAGGUAGUAGUAUAGAAAUGUCUAAUGUUCUCGAUCUUUUUCGUCUAAGAGGGACUUCUGAUAUUGAUUCUUUUAUACUAGACUAUAUUGUGAACGGAUUCUUAAAUGUAAGAGGAGACUCCUCUCAGGGUUAGGGAUCACACUAGGUAAAACACUUCAACACCAAUUUCUUCCUUGACCUCUUUGCUCAAGACUGUGUUCUCAAAAUCAUAUGUUUUGUUGUUGAUGUAUAAUGAUUAUUUUGACAAGUAAAGGAAUUUUAUAUGGUGUGUGGAACAGCAAUAUUAGUGAAAGUACAUGUCCAUUAGCUACUUUCUAUAUCAUCUACUCUGGACGUAAUUGUAAUGUCACAAGCAUGCUCUGAAGCAAAAAUACAAAAAUAGGUUUCCCGGUAAAGAAGUAAAGUUAAUCCAAAAGACCACGAGCAGGUGUACUUUUUGACUUUGAAAUCCUCAGUUGCAAGUUUUGUGUUAAGCUAUCAUGUUAUGUUCCUUCCAUCAAGAUUCAUUCUUGUACUUUGAGUAUAUAAAUAAAAUUGUAUCUCCCAUCAAUUCUACUUCCUUUGGCGAAAUAAUUAACUUUGUAGAUUAAGCAUUCUAAGUUUCAAACAAAACUAAGAAUACGAAGGUGCAACCCAUAAGCCUUUUUCAGUUGUAUGAUGCUCCAGCGCCUAAGAUAUGCUUAUCCAGUCCCAUGAAUAAUGUCCAUUGUUUCCU